rnacentral:rRNA from 1 species
UACGUAGGGGGCAAGCGUUGUCCGGAUUUAUUGGGCGUAAAGAGCGUGUAGGCGGCCAGACAGGUCAGCUGUGAAAACUCGAGGCUCAACCUCGAGACGUCGGUUGAAACCGUCUGGCUAGAGUCCGGAAGAGGAGAGUGGAAUUCCCGGUGUAGCGGUGAAAUGCGCAGAUAUCGGGAAGAACACCCGUGGCGAAGGCGGCUCUCUGGGCUGCACCUGACGCUGAGAUGCGAAAGUGUGGGAGCAACGGG